GGGCCAUUAGCUCAACUGGUAGAGCAACUGACUCUUAAUCAGUAGGUCCCUGGUUCGAGUCCAGGAUGGCCCACCA
rnacentral:tRNA from 1 species